UGCUGCUCCACUCGUUCCUUCUUCCCCUUCACCAAAAUUUUCCAUUUCAGCUCCUAACAACAAACAUGGAAAACAGACCACAUAACAAAUGAUGUCAGAUUUUGUAAACUAAUUUGAAACACCUGAAUUAUAGUGUUCAGUCAAAAACGCAGUUAAACCAAGACAUUUACAGAGUCGCUGAUGUUCAGGAUGAUCAUCACAGCAUUUUUGAUUACAGCAGCAGCACGGAGAUGAAAGUCUACACUACUGAGUUUGUUUGAAGAAGCCUCCUGGUGGUCCAGCACCAGGAUCCCGUGCUCUCAUUGCUGUGGCCUGGGUUUGAUUCCCGGGCAGGGCGCUAUCCCAGCUAACUCUUCAAGCCCGGAUUAAAUGGGACGGUUGCAUCAGGAAGGUCAUCCGGCGUAAAACCUGUGCCAAAUCGAAACAUGCGGACCAAAUGAUCCGCUGCACCGAACCCAAAUAGGAAGCAGCCAAAAGAACAACAACAACAUAGUACUGUACCUCAGGUGAGGGAAGGCUGUCACACUGGUCAUUGUGAAGUGGUUUAGUGAGCAGUUUAUCCCCCAGGAUAGAGCGCAGCUGCUGGGCCAUUACUGCCUGUUGUUCCACCGAGCAGUGAUUCUCCAGAGACAGAAUUAGAGGACCACCUUAAAUGCAUACUCAGCGAUGGCCUCCACCACCUCUCUGAAAGGUACUUUAGAAGUAAGAGUGUGUCCAUGAUAAAUCACUGGUUCUCGAUCUCCAUCCCAGCAAUCGAGCUCAACACAGCGGCAGCC